rnacentral:lncRNA from 1 species
UGUUGAAAAAUGAUAUCUAGUUCCAUGUGUAAUAGUUUUGUUUAUGGUCUGUUUUAUGAUUUGUAUGUGCACUAUUUAGUUGUGAAUUCUAUUGUAAACUUAAGGAAAUGUUAAUCAAAAGAAUUUUUUUAACCAUUCUACCCUCUCAUAACAAAACACAAUAACACAAAAACUUUGUCAAAUUUACUAAAAUUAAAAGAGAAGACUUAAAAAAAAAAUUUAGUCACAUUCACAAAAGAUCAAACUUGAAUUUUAAGUGAAAGCUGAAAUUUUUAAAAUUUUAUGUAAGUUAAAAAUUAUAUCUUAUGAUCUAAAAAGACACAUUAAACCACAUGACUUGAUAUUCUUGAAGUUACUUAACACUUAUGAGGAAGACUUACAGAAGACUUCUCCGUUUAGCUAGAAAUAUUAUUAAACAUCAAUGUUUGUAACUUCAUAAUUAUCACCAAUUAAGUCAUGAAUUCGACUCAGUAGUCCCAAUAUUGACUAAUAAACAUGAAUUAGCAAGAAAAUAUUAAAAAUUCAAUUUAAUUUUGGGUAAAUUUGAAGUUUAAUAAAGAUUUACGUAGAAGACUUUUUUUAAAUCAUCCAUGGAAGACUUCAAAAG